rnacentral:tRNA from 1 species
GUUUUAAUAAUUUAAUAAAAAUAUUGAUUUUGUAAAUCAAAAAUAAACUAUGUUUUUAAAACA